rnacentral:rRNA from 1 species
CUGGAGGUAUCAGAAGUGCGAAUGCUGACAUAAGUAACGAUAAAGCGGGUGAAAAGCCCGCUCGCCGGAAGACCAAGGGUUCCUGUCCAACGUUAAUCGGGGCAGGGUGAGUCGACCCCUAAGGCGAGGCCGAAAGGCGUAGUCGAUGGGAAACGGGUUAAUAUUCCCGUACUUGGUGUUACUGCGAAGGGGGGACGGAGAAGGCUAUGUUGGCCGGGCGACGGUUGUCCCGGUUUAAGCGUGUAGGUGUGUGUUCCAGGUAAAUCCGGUUCACUUUAACACUGAGGCGUGAUGACGAGGCACUACGGUGCUGAAGCAACAAAUGCCCUGCUUCCAGGAAAAGCCUCUAAGCAUCAGGUAACAUCAAAUCGUACCCCAAACCGACACAGGUGGUCAGGUAGAGAAUACCAAGGCGCUUGAGAGAACUCGGGUGAAGGAACUAGGCAAAAUGGUGCCGUAACUUCGGGAGAAGGCACGCUGACACGUAGGUGAAGUGAUUUACUCACGGAGCUGAAGUCAGUCGAAGAUACCAGCUGGCUGCAACUGUUUAUUAAAAACACAGCACUGUGCAAACACGAAAGUGGACGUAUACGGUGUGACGCCUGCCCGGUGCCGGAAGGUUAAUUGAUGGGGUCAGCGCAAGCGAAGCUCCUGAUCGAAGCCCCGGUAAACGGCGGCCGUAACUAUAACGGUCCUAAGGUAGCGAAAUUCCUUGUCGGGUAAGUUCCGACCUGCACGAAUGGCGUAAUGAUGGCCAGGCUGUCUCCACCCGAGACUCAGUGAAAUUGAACUCGCUGUGAAGAUGCAGUGUACCCGCGGCAAGACGGAAAGACCCCGUGAACCUUUACUAUAGCUUGACACUGAACAUUGAGCCUUGAUGUGUAGGAUAGGUGGGAGGCUUUGAAGUGUGGACGCCAGUCUGCAUGGAGCCGACCUUGAAAUACCACCCUUUAAUGUUUGAUGUUCUAACGUGGACCCGUGAUCCGGGUUGCGGACAGUGUCUGGUGGGUAGUUUGACUGGGGCGGUCUCCUCCUAAAGAGUAACGGAGGAGCACGAAGGUUGGCUAAUCCUGGUCGGACAUCAGGAGGUUAGUGCAAUGGCAUAAGCCAGCUUGACUGCGAGCGUGACGGCGCGAGCAGGUGCGAAAGCAGGUCAUAGUGAUCCGGUGGUUCUGAAUGGAAGGGCCAUCGCUCAACGGAUAAAAGGUACUCCGGGGAUAACAGGCUGAUACCGCCCAAGAGUUCAUAUCGACGGCGGUGUUUGGCACCUCGAUGUCGGCUCAUCACAUCCUGGGGCUGAAGUAGGUCCCAAGGGUAUGGCUGUUCGCCAUUUAAAGUGGUACGCGAGCUGGGUUUAGAACGUCGUGAGACAGUUCGGUCCCUAUCUGCCGUGGGCGCUGGAGAACUGAGGGGGGCUGCUCCUAGUACGAGAGGACCGGAGUGGACGCAUCACUGGUGUUCGGGUUGUCAUGCCAAUGGCACUGCCCGGUAGCUAAAUGCGGAAGAGAUAAGUGCUGAAAGCAUCUAAGCACGAAACUUGCCCCGAG